GUCUCUGUGGCGUAGUUGGUAAGUGCAUUCAACUGCUAACUGAAAGGUUGGUGGUUCAAACCCACCCAGGGACA